AUUGAACGCUGGCGGCAUGCUUUACACAUGCAAGUCGAACGGCAGCACAGGGAGCUUGCUCCUGGGUGGCGAGUGGCGAACGGGUGAGUAAUGUAUCGGAACGUGCCUGGUAGUGGGGGAUAACUACUCGAAAGAGUGGCUAAUACCGCAUGAGAUCUUUGGAUGAAAGCGGGGGACCUUCGGGCCUCGUGCUACUGGAGCGGCCGAUAUCAGAUUAGGUUGUUGGUGGGGUAAAGGCCUACCAAGCCUGCGAUCUGUAGCUGGUCUGAGAGGACGACCAGCCACACUGGGACUGAGACACGGCCCAGACUCCUACGGGAGGCAGCAGUGGGGAAUUUUGGACAAUGGGCGCAAGCCUGAUCCAGCAAUGCCGCGUGCAGGACGAAGGCCUUCGGGUUGUAAAGUGCUUUUGUACAGAACGAAAAGUCUCUGGCUAAUAUCUAGAGAUCAUGACGGUACUGUAAGAAUAAGCACCGGCUAACUACGUG
rnacentral:rRNA from 1 species